CCCUAGCCUUCCAAGCUAACGACGCGGGUUCGAUUCCCGCUACCCGCU
rnacentral:tRNA from 1 species